UUCUUAUGAUUUUCAGUUUCA
rnacentral:piRNA from 1 species